AUUUUGACUGCCAACUGAGGAGGAGGAUAUGUUGGCCAGAAAUUAAGCCUUGCAACAGGCCAACUUCUGACCCCUCAAAGACUUGUGGCAAGGGUUCUUUAACAUGCAGAGUGGCACUGUCCCUACACAUAGGAACUAUAUACUUUUUAAAUUGCCAUUCCAAUUUUUUGUUUGUUUUAAAAAUGAUAAUUUUAGAAGACUUUAAGGCGGGGUCAUAAAAAAUAUUACAAUAAUCCCACCUUUUACACCACCCUCAAUGUUUAUUAUCUAGAACUCUCUUUACAAACAGUUUUGUUUUCAUAUCAUUUUUUGGUAUUUUCAUUUUUUAUAUUUUUUUUUUAUAUUUUUUUACAGAGCUCUAGAUAAUAAAAAUAUCAGAUGUUUAAGGUUACAGGUAUUAACAAAGUCAUUCUAAUUCAGAAUAUUGCAAAAUUUUAAUGUUGGUUGAUUUUGUCAUUGUUGAAGUCCAUACAGUAACCUAUUUUACAUCAACAUCAUUUGGUCUCUGUAGGAUAGUAAUGUCUCACAUCUCUUCUUUUCAUAACAAAUCAAUUUGUAGGUUCUAUAAAGUGGGCCAAUGACGAAGGUAAGGGAAAUUUUGACUGCCAACUGAGAGGAGGAUAUGUUGGCCAGAAAUUAAGCCUUGCAACAGGCCACCUACUGACCCCUCAAAGACUUGUGGCAAGGGUUCUUUAACAUGCAGAGUGGCACUGUCCCUACACAUAGGAACUAUAUACUUUUUAAAUUGCCAUUCCAAUUUUUUUUGUUUGUUUUAAAAAUGAUAACUUUAGAAGACUUUAAGGCGGGGGUCAUAAAAAAUAUUACAAUAAUCCCACCUUUUACACCACCCUCAAUGUUUAUUAUCUAGAACUCUGUUAACAAACAGUUUUGUUUUCAUAUCAUUAUUUUGUAUUUUCAUUUUUUAUAUUUUUUUUUUUAUAUUUUUUUACAGAGCUCUGGAUAAUAAAAAUAUCAGAUGUUUAAGGUUACAGGUAUUAACAAAGUCAUUCUAAUUCAGAAUAUUGCAAAAUUUUAAUGUUGGUUGAUUUUCUCAUUGUUGAAGUCCAUACAGUAACCUAUUUUACAUCAACAUCAUUUGGUCUCUGUAUGUAGGAUAGUAAUGUCUCACAUCUCUUCUUUUCAUAACAAAUCAAUUUGUAGGUUCUAUAAAGUGGGCCGAUGAUGAAGGUAAGGGAAAUUUUGACUGCCAACUGAGAGGAGGAUAUGUUGGCCAGAAAUUAAGCCUUGCAACAGGCCACCUACUGACCCCUCAAAGACUUGUGGCAAGGGUUCUUUAACAUGCAGAGUGGCACUGUCCCUACACAUAGGAACUAUAUACUUUUUAAAUUGCCAUUCCAAUUUUUUGUUUGUUUUAAAAAUGAUAAUUUUAGAAAACUUUAAGGCGGGGUCAUAAAAAAUAUUACAAUAAUCCCACCUUUUACACCACCCUCAAUGUUUAUUAUCUAGAACUCUCUUUACAAACAGUUUUGUUUUCAUAUCAUUUUUUGGUAUUUUCAUUUUUUAUAUUUUUUUUUUAUAUUUUUUUACAGAGCUCUAGAUAAUAAAAAUAUCAGAUGUUUAAGGUUACAGGUAUUAACAAAGUCAUUCUAAUUCAGAAUAUUGCAAAAUUUUAAUGUUGGUUGAUUUUCUCAUUGUUGAAGUCCAUACAGUAACCUAUUUUACAUCAACAUCAUUUGGUCUCUGUAUGUAGGAUAGUAAUGUCUCACAUCUCUUCUUUUCAUAACAAAUCAAUUUGUAGGUUCUAUAAAGUGGGCCGAUGAUGAAGGUAAGGGAAAUUUUGACUCCCAACUGAGAGGACGAUAUGUUGGGCAGAAAUUAAGCCUUGCAACAGGCCACCUACUGACCCCUCAAAGACUUGUGGCAAGGGUUCUUUAACAUGCAGAGUGGCACUGUCCCUACACAUAGAAACUAUACUUUCUAAAUUGCCAUUCCAAUUUUUGUUUGUUUUAAACAUGAUAACUUUAGAAGACUUUGAUUG